rnacentral:ncRNA from 1 species
UGCAUUGCGUGGAAAGAGAGUAGUACUAAUAGUCACAAACUAAAAGCGAGUUCAGGAUGGUGAGAGCUGAACAAGUAUGCUAUUAGGAAGGCACUCUGGAGCAAUAUGGUCUAUAAAAGUGGUCAUUAUGGUUGAUGAUGACAAAUAGGGUGGAACCGCGGGAUAAACCCGUCCCUAUG